rnacentral:rRNA from 1 species
GAUGAACGCUGGCAGCGUGCCUAAUACAUGCAAGUCGAGCGAACAGACGAGGAGCUUGCUCCUCUGACGUUGGCGGCGGACGGGUGAGUAACACGUGGAUAACCUACCUAUAAGACUGGGAUAACUUCGGGAAACCGGAGCUAAUACCGGAUAAUAUAUUGAACCGCAUGGUUCAAUAGUGAAAGACGGUUUUGCUGUCACUUAUAGAUGGAUCCGCGCCGCAUUAGCUAGUUGGUAAGGUAACGGCUUACCAAGGCAACGAUGCGUAGCCGACCUGAGAGGGUGAUCGGCCACACUGGAACUGAGACACGGUCCAGACUCCUACGGGAGGCAGCAGUAGGGAAUCUUCCGCAAUGGGCGAAAGCCUGACGGAGCAACGCCGCGUGAGUGAUGAAGGUCUUCGGAUCGUAAAACUCUGUUAUUAGGGAAGAACAAAUGUGUAAGUAACUAUGCACGUCUUGACGGUACCUAAUCAGAAAGCCACGGCUAACUACGUG